CAGUGGAAGACCAUUCUUGUCAAAUUAGCUCGGAGGACCACAAAGCCCUCGAGGGUCGCUUUGGAAGCUGCCAAUCAUGGAAUAUCAUAUACAAACAAAGAUGCAACAGGUGAAAAUUUGUGAAGUAAGCAACACCUCCGCCGCAGCAGCGGCGACCGCCAGCAGCGGCGUUUGCAUCAACGCCGUGCAGCGGAGGCGGAAACCACCUCCCAUUUGUCCAGAAGGAAAGAAAUCGCUCUGGCAUUCAACGCCGGGAAAACUUCACAGUGGCGAAAUAUUUUGGGCCAGCUGGCUCGGGGGACCGCCAG